CUUUUGUUCCCUCCCGGAGCCGGGCCGCUCGCUCCGCUCCGCUCGGCUGCUGGGCUCGGCCGCGGGCGCGGAGGCGGCGGCGGGGCUGCCCGGGGCCGCUCCUCCUGCUUUCCCGCCGCCAGCCGGCGCACACGCGGCGCGAGGCCCGGUGCGGAGCGCGGGCGCGGUGUCCGGGCGCCGCGGGGCUCAGCCGGGGCGGGGCGGGGCGGCGGGUCCGGGAGCGGCCGCAGCAUCCUCUCCCCCCGCGGCGGCGGCCCGCAGAGGAGGAGGCCGGCGCCCGGCCGCUGCCGCUCAUCCUGCUGCCCGAGGGGCGAAGGUGAGUGACGAUGGCAGGGAGAACGUGACCUGCACGGGCCCUUUUCCACCCACUGAGUGGCACCACCAUGCAGAAGCCCAGCGGCCUGAAGCCCCCCGGCCGUGGGGGAAAACACUCGAGCCCCAUGGGCCGGACGUCUGCUGGGUCAGCCUCAGCCUCUGCCACGGCGGCAGCCACCGGCUCCAAGGAAGGCUCCCCACUGCACAAGCAGGCCUCGGCACCCUCUGUGGCUGUGCCCGCUGCCUCUGAGAAGCCUGGCCCGAAGGCAGCCGAGGUGGGCGAUGACUUCGUGGGGGACUUUGAGGUCGGCGAGCGGGUAUGGGUGAAUGGCGUGAAGCCAGGUGUGGUGCAGUACCUGGGCGAGACACAGUUCGCACCCGGCCAGUGGGCCGGUGUGGUGCUGGACGAGCCCGUGGGCAAGAAUGAUGGCGCUGUGGGCGGCGUGCGCUACUUCGAGUGCCCGGCCCUGCAGGGCAUCUUCACGCGGCCCUCCAAGCUCACCCGGCAGCCCACGGCUGAGGGCUCGGGCAGCGACACCCACUCGGUGGAGUCGCUGACCGCCCAGAACCUGUCGCUGCACUCGGGCACAGCCACACCCCCGCUGACCAGCCGCGUCAUCCCGCUUCGGGAGAGUGUCCUCAACAGCUCCGUCAAGACAGGCAACGAGUCGGGCUCCAACCUCUCGGACAGUGGCUCUGUGAAGCGGGGUGACAAGGACCUGCGCUUGGGAGACCGUGUGCUGGUUGGCGGGACAAAGACUGGCGUGGUGCGUUAUGUGGGGGAGACGGACUUUGCCAAGGGCGAGUGGUGUGGCGUGGAGCUGGACGAGCCCCUUGGGAAGAACGAUGGGGCGGUGGCGGGCACCAGGUACUUCCAGUGCCCACCCAAGUUUGGUCUCUUCGCGCCCAUCCACAAGGUGAUCCGCAUCGGCUUCCCGUCCACCAGCCCAGCCAAAGCCAAGAAGACCAAGCGAAUGGCCAUGGGUGUGUCAGCGCUGACCCACAGUCCCAGCAGCUCCUCCAUCAGCUCCGUCAGCUCUGUGGCUUCCUCUGUGGGGGGCCGGCCCAGCCGCAGUGGCCUGCUCACGGAGACCUCUUCACGCUACGCCCGCAAGAUCUCCGGCACGACUGCCUUGCAAGAGGCACUGAAGGAGAAGCAGCAGCACAUUGAGCAGCUGCUGGCUGAACGGGACCUGGAGCGGGCUGAGGUGGCCAAGGCCACGAGCCACAUCUGCGAGGUGGAGAAGGAGAUCGCCCUGCUCAAGGCGCAGCAUGAGCAGUAUGUUGCAGAAGCAGAGGAGAAGCUGCAGCGGGCCCGGCUGCUGGUGGAGAGCGUGCGGAAGGAGAAGGUAGACCUGUCCAACCAGCUGGAGGAGGAGAGGAGGAAGGUGGAGGACCUGCAGUUCCGCGUGGAGGAGGAGUCCAUCACCAAGGGAGACCUGGAGACCCAGACACAGCUGGAGCACGCGCGCAUUGGGGAGCUGGAGCAGAGCCUGCUGCUGGAGAAGGCGCAGGCCGAGCGCCUGCUCCGAGAAUUAGCCGACAACAGGCUGACCACGGUGGCCGAGAAGUCACGGGUGCUGCAGCUGGAGGAGGAGCUGAACCUGCGGCGGGGCGAGAUCGAGGAGCUGCAACAGUGCCUGCUGCACUCCGGCCCGCCGCCCGCUGACCACCCCGAGGCCGCGGAGACCCUGCAGCUGCGGGAGCGGCUGCUGUCGGCCAGCAAGGAGCACCAGAGGGAGAGCGGUGUGCUGCGGGACAAGUACGAGAAGGCCCUGAGGGCCUACCAGGCUGAGGUGGAGAAGCUGCGGGCCGCCAACGACAAGUAUGCACAGGAGGUGGUGGACCUCAAGGCCAAGGUCCAGCAGGCCACCAGCGAGAACAUGGGGCUCAUGGACAACUGGAAGUCCAAGCUGGACUCGCUGGCCUCGGACCACCAGAAGUCCCUGGAGGACCUCAAGGCCACCCUGAACUCGGGCCCUGGCGCCCAGCAGAAGGAGAUCGGGGAGCUGAAGGCUGUGAUGGAGGGCAUCAAGAUGGAGCACCAGCUGGAGCUGGGCAACCUGCGCGCCAAGCACGACAUCGAGACGGCCAUGCACGUGAAGGAGAAGGAGGGCCUGCGGCAGAAGCUGCAGGAGGCCCAGGAGGAGCUGGCCGGGCUGCAGCAGCACUGGCGGGCCCAGCUGGAGGUGCAGGCCGGCCAGCACCGGCUGGAGCUGCAGGAGGCCCAGGACCAGCGCCGGGACGCCGAGCUGCGGGUACACGAGCUGGAGAAGCUGGACGCGGAGUACCGGGGCCAGGCGCAGGCCAUCGAGUUCCUCAAGGAGCAGAUCUCCCUGGCCGAGAAGAAGAUGCUGGACUAUGAGCUGCUGCAGCGGUCAGAGGCCCAGAGCAAGCAGGAGGCUGAGAGGCUGCGGGAGAAGCUGCUGGUCGCCGAAAACAGACUCCAGGCUGUCGAGUCCCUGUGCUCGUCCCAGCACACCAACAUGAUUGAGUCGAACGACAUUUCAGGGGAGAAGAUCAGGAUGAAGGAGACUGUGGAGGGCCUGCAGGACAAGCUGAACAAGAGGGACAAAGAGGUGACAGCCUUGACGAACCAGACUGAGAUGCUCAGGGCCCAAGUAAGUGCGCUGGAGAGCAAGUGCAAGUCGGGGGACAAGAAGGUGGACGUCCUCCAGAAGGAGAAGCGGCGCUUGGAGGCCGAGCUGGAGGCAGUGUCCCGGAAGACCCACGACGCCUCGGGCCAGCUGGUGCUCAUCAGCCAGGAGCUGCUCAGGAAGGAGCGGAGCCUGAACGAAUUGCGGGUAUUGUUGCUGGAAGCCAAUCGCCACUCCCCAGGGCCCGAGAGGGACCUGAGCCGUGAGGUCCACAAGGCUGAGUGGCGGAUCAAGGAGCAGAAACUCAAGGAUGACAUCCGGGGCCUUCGUGAAAAGCUGACUGGGCUGGACAAAGAGAAGUCGCUGUCGGAUCAGAGGCGCUACUCCCUCAUUGACCCGUCCUCAGCACCUGAGCUCCUGCGGCUACAGCACCAGCUGAUGAGCACAGAGGACACACUGCGGGAUGCACUGGACCAGGCUCAGCAGGUGGAGAAGCUCAUGGAGGCCAUGAGGAGCAGUCCCGACAAGUCCCCGGCCAUUGGCAAUUCGGGUUCUGCAAACGGCAUCCACCAGCAAGACAAGACCCACAAACAAGAGGAUUCGUCACAGGUUAGGUCAGCUUAUUGCACUUAGCUGUUGUCUUGUUAGUCUCCUUUAAUCUGGAACAUGUCCUCAAUUUCUCUUUGAUUUUUAUGAUAUUGACAUUUUUGAAACAUAGUCCCCACUCCUUUUUAAAAUAUAUAUAUUUGUAUUGAUUUUUAAAGAGAGAGGAAGGGAGGGUGAGAGAAACACAAACCAAUGCGAGAGGAAUAUCCAUCAGCUGCCUCCUGCAUGCCCCCCACCCUUUUUAAAAUAGAACAUUCCUCAUUUGAGGUUUGCUGGUGGGUCCCCGUGAUCUGAGCCAGGUCCUGCAUCUCGGGCUGGAACACGUCGGCAAUGUCGUGUCCUCCGGCAUCCCGACUGGGCGCACGAUGUCCAGCUGCCCUUCCCUCCUGAUGUGCACUGUGAUCACCUCGUCCAGGAGUUUUCGGAUUUCUCCACUGCGUAGUUACUGGCUCUUUUCUAACGGUCAGUCUGUGGGGACUGUAGGGCCCUGUGGAUACCCUCUCACUGAACCCCUCCCCUGGACUUCGCAUCCGUGGAUGACUCUGGCCCAGCCAGUCUUUACUGUGAUGGUUGCAAAGCACCACAUACAUCAUUUUAAUAGAGACAAGCACUGACCCUGAGGGCCAUCAUGGAGCAGCCCCGUCCACACCGGAGCCACUCCUUUCUGCCCCAGUGGCGCCGCGGCCAGGACUGUUACUUUGGAGACAAGAACAGUAUUUGUAACAAUAAUGUACCUACCGUCUGGACAAUCCCCACCCUCAACCCCCUGCCGGACCAGGAGGCUUCCUCAAGCACGAACUUCCACAGAGAGCGGUACAGCCCGGAACCUGCAGCCCCGACACCCGGACACCCAGCAGCUUCUGGAAUGUGUUUGGGGGAGGCUGAGGCUAUCCGACCAGGCCCUCUCCCCAGAACGAGCUGCCCUGGGACCAUCCUGAGCUCGUCCCUACCCUCCCUUUCUUCCCUUCCUUCUCCAGGGUCCCCCUCGGAUCCCAGAGAGCCAUGGUCCCAGGAAAGGUCAGAGGAGGCCCAAGGUCUCCUUGCAGGCACCAAGGAGCGAAGUCCGGGCCUCAGGAGCCACUGAGGACCCCUUUUCUGCACCCACUUCCAGGCAAGGCAGUUCCCAGGGCUGCUUGUCCCCACAUUUUGAGCCUCCUUCAAGCAGUGGUACAAGCUUCCCUUAACCUGUCUGCCCAGCGAGUCCCAGGUUCAGGGUGUUGGGGUACAAGGUCCUUUCCCCCCAAUACCAACAUACACAACUCCAAGCUGCUGGCCAGAGGGUGGCCGCCAAGGCCAGGAGCACAGUAUUAGGAAAGUGGGAACCCUGUCCUCACCCUCACAUCGACCUGGCUUGGAGUGGGGCAGGAUGGCUGCAGGGGAGUUGAGACCAGUGGCCCAGGCAUAUUAUAACUGGUCGGUAAUUCGGUGUCCCCUGGGCUGACCAGCUGUUCCAAAACUGGGCCUCCCCCUGCAGGUGCACUUGUGCACACCCUGACGUAUGCACCCACUGACCCUUGACUCCCGCACACUCACAGGGUCACACACGGCCAUGCAGGUGGGGUGUUUGCAUCAGCCAUGCUCAGGCCACACAGGUGCACACACUUGGGUUCCAGGACUGAGCCCCAAGCCAGGCAAGGUAGUGACCGCACACACCACAGACAUUCCUGCAACCUGGCAGUGCACGCACACACCCGGGUACACGCAGUGAGUGUCCAGGGGUGUGUGUGCCAGGCACAGGCAUCAGGAUGCAUAGGUACCAACAGCCCCUUUCAAUCUUACCAGGCCCCGGCCUGGAGCCUUUAAACUUGUCUCCAGAAAGAGAACCCAAGGGAUGUAGUUGGCAAGAAAAAGCUACGCACCUCUCUCCUCGAGCCCUGAGUCUCCAGGCCUGUGUGUGGCAGGAGAAGCCAGCUCUGGCCCAGCGGUGCCCACCUCUAGAGCUGGAGGGCCCACAGGCCAUGGCCUUGUGCCGCAGCACCGCUGCUGGGGGGUACAGGGAGGAGCCUAGCACCCCAUCACGGUGUUCCCAAGGUGCACCAGGACGGGUAUGCAGUCUGUCCAGGGAGCAGCCCAGGUAGCCUGCAAGUGCUCCCAGAUACAGGUGGGUGGUGCUCACCACCUUGCCAUCGUGGGGGCAGCCAGUUUGUCCCAUCAGCCCCUCCCCCUCCCUGUUGGCUUUUGGUAGCUCUCGCAUGCUGUUUUAUUAACAACAGUCUAGGAGCGAUGCUCUAGUGGCCUAACCCAGAGUUAAUGCUACUCUUUUCAGCAAAUUCAGGCAGCUGCCCCCCUAAAGGAGGUGCUGAUUAGUCUACUAACAGCCAGAGGCCCACACCGGAGGGCUGAGCCCCAGAUGGGUUUGCAGGUGGCAGGUAUCACAGAAGCGAUUUCCAGUGAGCAUCUCUGACCAGUGUGGACUCAGCCACAUCCCUGCCAAGUCCUCCCCACGCCCUUCCCUCCCCAAAGUGGAAUUGUUGAAGUGUGGCAAGUCCGUGCUCGAGACAAUAAAGCUUGUGACUGAGGUCCCAGGA